AGUAGUAGUUUCCGUAAUCAUUCCUCUCUAAUUCAAAUCAAAAUCAAAAUUCAAAUCCUCCCAAAUUGAAGCUGUGAUUUACUUAUUGAUCGCAAAACAAAGAUCAUCUAUCUAUAUCAAGGGAUUAUAAUGGGAUGUUAUGGCAUCAGAGCAGAAUCAUCGACUAGGGUUUAUGCAUUUUCUAAGAAUCCGUCUCUUAUAAUCGUUUUAUUUCUCGAUUGAAUAUAUGCAUUAUCGAUCGAAAUACAGUUCCUUUCAACUUUUCGCCAAGCUUCUCAUGAUGUGAUUGAUAGUAUGAUCAUUCAACAUCACCAGAAAGGAUAGAGAAGAAGAUACAGAAUGCUCCACCUGGUCAAGGCACUGUUAGGAUGCUUUCUCGAGAGGAAUGGGAAAAAUUUAGAGAAGUCCAACCAAGAACUCCAUUUGAAUCUAAACUUGCUCGACCUAAUGCACGAAUAAGAACAUGGGAGCCUCUACACAUGGUAAAUCUUCAAACUUUAUCACUAACAUUCAUUUCUUAUUUUUGUUCAUAAGUUCUUCAACUGUUUGCUUAAUCAUAUUACUAUAAACAGUAAAAGAAUGAACACAAGUAAAUUGUUAUUAACUUAUUAUAUGUGAAAAUACAAAGUGUGUUGCUAUUUUGCUAGAGGAUGUUAAGGAUUGGACAGUUGAUGUGUUGACAGAUGCUUUUACAAGGGCUAAAGAAUGUGUGAAACAGGGAUCAAAGUAGGGAAAAUUGAGCUUUUAAAUGUUGUUUAGAAAUGAAACUAAUUUACAUGUUUUGAUGUAAUAUUCACCAUAGAAUAUACAAAACUAAUUAAUUGAGAAAUGGUUGUUGAUUAACUUUGUUAGUAUAUGUGCAAAAUGAUGAAGCUUUUGUGAAGAUGAGAAAUAUCAAAUUGGAAGAUAUAUGUUUUUAAACUAAUGAUUUGUGAUUUGAAUAAUCAAAAUAAACUUCCACUUUUUAUCAAUUAUUUCUUUUUUACUUGAUGCAGUUUGAGUUUAUAAUAGUUAUUAGACAAGCAAUCAUUUCUUAUUCAUCAUCACUUAUGGUUAGAAGGGUAAAAUUAUCCAUUCUCUCUGUAUCCCUACUUAUGAUGGGUGAAAUGCGUUACUGUUUACCGUGAAAAAAGAAACUAAAUUGCUCUUUUUGUAUCAAGCCUUAAAAAAUAGAAAAAACAAAAUGCAUUGCUAUUUAACUAGAAAAAAAAAGAAAGAAACUAAGUCAUAUUUUUUGCAUUCUUGCAUUAGGUAAGAAAAACUAGACAAAGGAAAAUACAUUACAAUUUAGCCUGAAAAAAAAAACCUUUUCGGAUCAUUUAAAAAAAAGAAUACAAAAAGGAAAAUACAUUGUUUUUUAGCGUGAAAAAAAGAAACUACAUUGUCCUAUUUUUUGCAUUAGUUACAAAAAAAUGACAGAAACUAGGUUGUUAUUUAGCUCGAAAAGAUAAAAUAAGUUUCCUUAUUAUGCAUUAGGUUGCAAAAAUAUAGAAAAAGAAAAGUAUGUUGCUAUUUAGCAUUAAAAAGUGAAAGUAACUUGCCAAUUUUGCAUCUGGGCACAAUAAAUAAGAAAGGAAGAUGCAUUGUUAUUUUGUGCGAGAAAACAUUGUUAUUUAGCAUGAAACAUCUGUCAUUUCCUUUGAAUCAGGUCACAAUAAAUAGACAAUGAAAAUUACGUUGUUGUUUACCGUGAAAAAAAGAACUUGCUGUUUUUGUAUGAGAUAAAAAAGUGUGUUGCUAUUUAGCUUGAAAAAACUAACUUUCCCUUUUUUUACAUUACUUCAAAAUACAAGUAACUUGCUAUUUACUUCACAAUUUGUAAACUUCUGUUGCAAACAUUAUACUAUAUUAUAUCAUUUUUAACGAUAUCAUAGAUCCACUCAAGGGGUACUCAGACAAUACCGAUCAUGUGGCAUCUCAAUUAACACCAUGUACUCAUGUAGUACCAUUUAAGGUAUCUAAUUUGACCUGUACCAAUUAACUUCAAGCAUAUUGAUCUAUAGGAUUCUAUUCCAACAUGAAAAUAAUGUAGGGAGGAAGUAAAACACAUUAUCCAUAGCAACUGAGGUACUUUAUACCAAUCUUUAUCUAUUUGCGUUUUAUUUCAUUGAUAGCAUCUUAAAAUCCAACAUUAAAUUCUAUUAUUUAAGUUUAUUACAGUUCCAAAACUUUACUCAUAAUAUGAAAGCUAGUUAGGGAUUAACAAUAGAUGCGAAGGUGCUCUUCCUUAUAUCACAUCAACCCUCAAACAAUGAAAGGACAUAAUGAAGGAUGCUCCGUUUAUACACUGAAAAUUGAAAAUUUUAGCAAAGACAUAUCGAAUCAGAGUUAGCUGCCUUGCCCCUGUCUUAUGCUUCUAUCAUUUCGAGGCCCUUGCUUAUAUGAAGAUAGUGGCAUUAGAGUUUGUCACCGACCGACUAACGGAGAUAUAAGGAUGAUUGCUUUAAUUACCGCCGUAUCGUUCCAUCCUAAUGGUGCCACUGGAGGGUUUCAGGCGGGGACGCAUGAUGUCUAACCUAAACUACGGUUGGGAAGACGAAUAAAGGGGAGUGAUGCUGCUGGCGGUGGUUGAUAGUUGUUGCCGAAUUACUUCCUUUCUUGUACGUAGACUUCGUCAGUGGGUAUUUCAAUCAAUUUAAAAAAGGGACCUAAUUCUUUUGUUUAUUUUAAACGCGUCCUUUGAUUACAUAAAAUUGAAGUAUGAUGAACUAUGUAUUUUUAUUUGCCGACAUACAUCCCCCAAAGUUUCUGAGUAAUAAA